rnacentral:misc_RNA from 1 species
GAUGAAGAACGUAGCGAAAUGCGAUACUUGGUGUGAAUUGCAGAAUCCCGUGAACCAUCGAGUCUUUGAACGCAAGUUGCGCCCGAAGCCAUUAGGCCGAGGGCACGCCUGCCUGGGCGUCACACGUCGUUGCCCCCCCCAUCUACUCCUUCGGGAUUGCGGGGGGCGGAUGAUGGCCUCCCGUGUGCCUCGCCGCGCGGUUGGCAUAAAUGCCAAGUCCUCGGCGACGCACGCCACGACAAUCGGUGGUUGCGAAACCUCGGUUGCCCGUCGUGUGCGGUCGUCGCGCAUCGAGGGCUCGAAAAAAUUGCCGGGUUCCGGCUCGGCUUUCAACGCGACCCCAGGUCAGGCGGGGUUACCCGCUGAAUUUAAGCAUAUCAAUAAGCGGAGGA